rnacentral:ncRNA from 1 species
CAUAGGUUUGGUCCCAGCCUUUCCAUUAGCUUUCAGUGAGAUUACACAUGCAAGUAUCCACAACCCUGUGAGAAUGCCCUCUAGAACUAUAUAACAUGAGGAGCGAGUAUCAAGCACGCACAUGCAGCUCAAAACACUUUGCUCAGCCACGCCCCCACGGGAAACAGCAGUGACAAAUCUUUAGCAAAUAAACGAAAGUUUAACUAAGUUACACUGAUCAGCAGAGUUGGUCAAUUUCGUGCCAGCCACCGCGGCCAUACGAUUAACUCAAGCUAAUAGACUUCGGCGUAAAGAGUGUUUAAAAUAACAAUUCCAAUAAAGCUGACCUCUAACUAAGUUGUAAAAAACCCCAGUUACAGUAAAAUAUUCUACGAAAGUGGCUUUACCACCCUGAAUACACUAUAGCUAAGAUACAAACUGGGAUUAGAUACCCCACUAUGCUUAGCCCUAAAUCCCAAUAGCUCUGCCAACAAAACUAUUCGCCGGAACACUACAAGCAACAGCUUGAAAUUCAAAGGACCUGGCGGUGCUUUACAUCCUUCUAGAGGAGCCUGUUCUAUAAUCGAUAAACCCCGAUAUACCCUACCACCUCUUGCCCUCAGCCUGUAUACCGCCAUCUUCAGCAAACUCUAUAACGACAGCAAAGUAAGCAUAAGUAUAAUCAUAAAAACGUUAGGUCAAGGUGCAGCCAAUGAAGUGGAAGAAAUGGGCUACAUUUUCUAUGUUAGAAAAUAACACGUUAGUCUCUAUGCAACCUAAAGACCCAAGGUGGAUUUAGCAGUAAAUCAAGAAUAGAGAGCUUGAUUGAAAUAAGGCCAUUAAGCACGCACACACCGCCCGUCACCCUCCUCAAACAUCACGUAAAGUAUUUUAACAAUAAGCACCUACACACUGAUAUAGAGGGGAUAAGUCGUAACAUGGUAAGCGUACUGGAAAGUGUGCUUGGAAGAAU